rnacentral:lncRNA from 1 species
CAUGGAUAGACCUUAUGUUAGCUAAAAGAUCACAAAUAUUCUGACUUGGGUUUUCUUUUAUAAUGGGUCUGGUAUGAAUAGAAUGACUGCAAAAUAGGUAGCAAUUACUGUUCUUUCUAAAACAACCCAUGUGUUGUUUGGAGGAGCUUCAUUGUUGUCUAAAAUUAGGGUGUUUUUACAUUGCUAUUUACACAAUUAAAGUUAAAAGAAUGAAAGAAGUUCUUUCUGGAAUUGUGUAGGUGUUACAUUGUGGCUUUACUUGAGGACAGAAAGUAUGCUGCCUUGGCUCCAUUUGGUGGCUUUGCAUUUAUUGCUGCUUGGGCAAGCUUGCUUUUCUGAGUCAUAUCUUUCAUUUCUAUAUUAUUUGCAUAUCUCUGUCAUGGGAUCAAUAAUUUGUAUAAUUUUACUUGAUGUCAUGUAUAUAAUAUUGUAACUUGUAUUGCACAGGUGUGUUUGAAAAGUGUAAAAAUGAAAUAAUUCAAAUGAAGUGAAUUAUGUUUGACUAAAUAUCUGAAUUUUGGGAGUCUGGAGCACA